rnacentral:rRNA from 1 species
CAGCAGCCGCGGGAAUACGAGGGGUGCAAGCGUUGCUCGGAAUUAUUGGGCGUGAAGGGUAGGUAGGUGGUCUCAUUUGUCGGGGGUGAAAGCCUUGGCUUAACCCAAGAAGUGCCCCCGAAACGGUGAGACUCGAGUCUUGGAGAGGGUCGUGGAAUUCCCGGUGUAGCGGUGAAAUGCGUAGAGAUCGGGAGGAACACCAGAGGCGAAGGCGGCGACCUGGACAAGUACUGACACUCAACUACGAAAGCGUGGGGAGCAAACAGGAUUAGAUACCCCCGUAGUCCCUGUCUCUUAUACA